UCGAAUCCAGAUUACGCCGCUCUUCUUGCAU
rnacentral:piRNA from 1 species